UUACUUUGAAAUGAAAGUCUGCAUUAUCGAUUUGUUCAAUGUGAAGUUACAAGACUGUCUCUAAAGACUUGAUGGUUUACCUUGCGUGCGGAAGUGUUUCCGACCCCUGGUCAACUCUCUUAUUAGUGAAAUAUUGGAGACUGAAAUUUUUUGUAUAAUUAUUUUAAGACACUACAAACUAUAAACUGUUUUAAGGUAACAUUAAUUUUAUGAUGGAAAUGUAUGGAAGUAAAAUAAAAACUGAAAUAUUCUUUCAAUCCCCCCCUCCCCCCCCCCACCACACACAUACAUAUUACUAUUUUGUAAAGUGAUAACUAGAUUAAGCCUUUUGGUGUAAGUAUGUAUCUGUUUUGUACACUGUUUUCGAUAAGUUCUGCUUAUAGUGAUAUAAUAAUUGUAAUAAUUCAAGUAAUUUUGCAUGCACAGUGUUACCACUUGGCUUCAUUUCAUUGUUCUUCAGUAGAUAAAACCACAGAAUAAAAACAGGAAAUGCCAAUGUCUAAAGUACUCCAAUUAUAAAUGACCUUACGCCAAGCAUGUCAAACUUGCGGCCCACCUGCACAGGGGCCGCAUUGUGCUGUGGCUGUGACCUGCCACAAGAUAGGAAAGACCUUUCCUGUCUGCCCUACCACGGCCGAUCAUGUGCUCCGACGGCCGCAAGAGCACUAAGCAUUAGUCCACACCGGCCACCGGAUAUGCGCAUAAAGCAUGUGAAGUCAUAUCCAGCGGCUGCGCUACAGUGUGCAGAGUUGCUGUCUAUUUGCAGAGAAGGCCAGCCACUCCCCUUUCCUUCCUGCUUGCAGAGCCAGAGAAGCAUCUGGCCUGCUUGAGAAGAGCAUGGCUGGAAUUGGAGGAUAAGUGGCUCAUCUUAAGGUAGGGGAAGAGUAGCAGUGUAUUAGAUUAGGGGACGAAUGAGGGCAGUGUAUUAUUUGGGGGAGGGAGGGGCCGCAGUGUAUUAGAUGCUGAUUGGCCGUGUAGUGUUUUGCCACACAUGCGCAAUAGCCUCCCAAUGCUUUUCUAUCGGAAAGCAUUGGAUUGGCUGAGAUAAUCAAGUUUGAUGAUCUCAGCCAAAGUGAAGAACACACUCCUAGAAUUUCAAAAUCAACAAGAUAAUGUCAUUUUGUAUUUGUAACAGCAUGUCUUCACCAUUUCAGUCCCAUUACCAAACUUUUCGUAAUAUGUCGAGGUAGUUGAAUUGAAACAUUGGUUAUAUGCAAAUGCACGUCUCCUUAAAAUAAAUUUGCUUGUUUGUUUACUUCAAAGCCCGACGGGCGUGAGGACAUCCAGUGUCAGGCAAAAAAAUUUUUUUUUAUACUGUACUUUUCAAAAUAAACCUAAGUUUCUAUGAAAACUGAAGUUUUUGUUUUUUUGUGGCCCAUAUUAUUUGGCCACUGUUAUCCUUAGAGUUUGACGUGCUUACCUUACACUAUUUAUCACCUGGUAUAAAGUCACUCGCUUGUUGUAGUGAUAUACAGCUUGUCCUAGUCGUUCAGGUGACAACGUAUAGACCUCCGAGACGGUCCUUUUUAGCCCAUCUCAUAAAACUUAGUAACAGUCUGUCUCCCAGUCAAACCGAAAGGUUUUGUUUAAUUUGAAUAAGGAAAUGCCCAACAUGCCCCAUUGUAAAGUUUGUCAUAUAAAGUACUCUCUCUUACUUCCAUGUCUUAUAUGUAGCAAAAGAACCAUCCAAUCCAAGUCUAACUACCUGUUAGUGGUAAAUUCCCCUAAUACGUGGACAAUUCAUCCUGUCUAAAUUGUUGAUUCCAUAAAUAUACAACGGUUAAUGUCCACUGUUCUUCCUUAAGACACUAAUAAAAUCACAAAAAAAAAGAUUUGAACUUUAUAUGGUUCUUUAGUAUCUAAAAACAAAAAAAAAGCAAACACACGAGCCGCUAGGGCACAAGUUGUGUUACGGAUUGUGUUCCUAUAUGGUGUUCGUAGGACAUCGAAUACGCAUUGAAAGAUGUAAAGGAGGAGGAGUUGCAAAUAGUACAUCAAUAAGCAGCGCUGCAGUGAAACUUUAUUUCAUGUUAUAUGCUGAAUGAUGUCUCUUAAAAUCCCUACUAGACAACGGUUCAUGGGAUAAGCUUGGCUCCCCAGUGAAAAUACGUUUUGACUGACUGAAAUCUGCUAUGUCAUAAUUUGUGUAGAGCUCACAGGAUUUGCAAUACACAGGAUUUUCAGUAUUUAUUUCUUUAAGUAUUUUGUUAAUGUAUUAACUAUGUAGAGACUGUAUUUGUUCACUUGUAUACUGUGAGAUGCUUAAAUAAAGAG